rnacentral:rRNA from 1 species
AGUCAACCUAACCUAUGGACGGGAAUAACCCCCGGAAACUGAGAAUAAUGCCCGAUAGAACAUUAUGCCUGGAAUGGUUUAUGUUCCAAAUGAUUUAUCGCCGUAGGAUGGGACUGCGGCCUAUCAGUUUGUUGGUGAGGUAAUGGCCCACCAAGACUAUUACAGGUACGGGCUCUGAGAGGAGUAGCCCGGAGAUGGGUACUGAGACACGGACCCAGGCCCUAUGGGGCGCAGCAGGCGAGAAAACUUUGCAAUGUGCGAAAGCACGACAAGGUUAAUCCGAGUGGUUUCUGCUAAAGAAACCUUUUGUCAGUCCUAGAAACACUGAUGAAUAAGGGGUGGGCAAGUUCUGGUGUCAGCCGCCGCGGUAAAACCAGCACCUCAAGUGGUCAGGAUGAUUAUUGGGCCUAAAGCAUCCGUAGCCGGCUCUGUAAGUUUUCGGUUAAAUCUGUACGCUCAACGUACAGGCUGCCGGGAAUACUGCAGAGCUAGGGAGUGGGAGAGGUAGACGGUACUCGGUAGGAAGGGGUAAAAUCCUUUGAUCUAUUGAUGACCACCUGUGGCGAAGGCGGUCUACCAGAACACGUCCGACGGUGAGGGAUGAAAGCUGGGGGAGCAAACCGGAUCAGAUACCCGGGUAGUCCCAGCUGUAAACUAUGCAAACUCCGUGAUGCAUUGGCUUGUGGCCAAUGCAGUGCUGCAGGGAAGCCGUUAAGUUUGCCGCCUGGGAAGUACGUACGCAAGUAUGAAACUUA